UGAGAGACCAAAAUGAAAUUUGGGCACAGAACAAAGACUCGUCCAAAGUCUUUAAAUGUUUAAACCCAGAUCUUUCUGGAUUCCAGAACCUGUGCUCUGAACCAGCAUUCCCAUCUUGCUUUAGGUAUUUCUUCUGAAUAUAAGACAGAGGCCGUGUGCAUUGUGAGUAGAUUCUUCCUAUUCUCUCUCUGUUUCAGGUAAAAACGUUGUUUCCGUGUUUGUGACUUUGACAUGAAGCCCAAGCACUUGGAGUUUCUCCUUAUGGGGCGACUCCGGGAGACGCUGGAGCCCUGUUCAGACUUCAGCCCGUUCUCACUGUCUUCCCCGAGUAAGCUCCUCCGGGACGUGAAGAGCCUGCGGCGGAGCUCCCUGAGCUCCCUAGCAAGAAAUCCGGUAAUGCAGAAGGAACUGAGAUAAACUUACCUGGGAUCUCCACUUAACGAGGACUUUUCAAAGUUCAUCGUCAAACAUGAGAAUGUUCUCAAAGCUCCAAUCAUCACAACGGCUGUGGGGCUGUUCUGCUCUCUGAAUUUUAGGUAUAGACGAAGAGACCGAGGCCCAAGGUCAUUCAGUGAGUUAAGGCUGAAGUGGGAACUAAAAUCAUGAGCUUUGGCUUCUGUACCUCGCCCUUCUCCCUCACCACGCCAUUUCCCUUUGCAUCAUCAUUUGUUUUUUUAUUUUCUUCUUUUGGAUAGAGACACACACACAUAUACACAUAUUUGCA
rnacentral:lncRNA from 1 species